CCGGUGUAUAUGUAUUGGUUACCUGAACCUUGUGCUGUUGUCAACUGGUGGUGUCGGCUCAUCACACUAAGUAUCUUUCUUUUGUGAACUUUAACCGUUGUCUACCUUAGAGAAUUUAAUUGUUGCAACUUGAAACAGAGAUGGAAGUCAGCCAGGCCCAGGUUUGGAUGGAGGACACCCUUCUGAGCCCCUUCAGGUCACUCAGGAAUUCCUCCUUCCCAUCUCUCUCCUACACAUAAGGCAGAGUCCUCAGGGGAUGUACCACUCUUGGGAGAUGGGACUGAGGGGAACCAUGUCCCAGGAGUGUGGUGGACACUGCUGAGGCAGAACACACAUUGCCAUGGCAGCCCC